UGGGGAAUAUUGGACAAUGGGCGAAAGCCUGAUCCAGCCAUGCCGCGUGUGUGAAGAAGGUCUUCGGAUUGUAAAGCACUUUAAGUUGGAAGGAAGGGCAGUAAGCGAAUACCUUGCUGUUUAGACGUUACCGACAGAAUAAGCACCGGCUAACUCUGUGCCAGCAGCCGCGGUAAUACAGAGGGUGCAAGCGUUAAUCGGAAUUACUGGGCGUAAAGCGCGCGUAGGUGGUUCGUUAAGUUGAAUGUGAAAGCCCCGGGCUCAACCUGGGAACUGCAUCCAAAACUGGCGAGCUAGAGUAGGGCAGAGGGUGGUGGAAUUUCCUGUGUAGCGGUGAAAUGCGUAGAUAUAGGAAGGAACACCAGUGGCGAAGGCGACCACCUGGGCUCAUACUGACACUGAGGUGCGAAAGCGUGGGGAGCAAACAGG
rnacentral:rRNA from 1 species